GUUAGGAAUAUUGGACAAUGGGCGCAAGCCUGAUCCAGCCAUGCCGCGUGAGUGAUGAAGGCCUUCGGGUUGUAAAGCUCUUUAGCCGAUGAUUAUAAUGACUGUAGUCGGAAAAUAAGCCCCGGCUAACUUCGUGCCAGCAGCCGCGGUAAUACGAAGGGGGCGAGCGUUAUUCGGAAUCACUGGGCGUAAAGCGUGCGUAGGCGGCUUUGCAAGUUGGGAGUGAAAGCCCAGGGCUCAACCCUGGAAUUGCUCUCAAAACUGCAAGGCUCGAAUUCGGGAGAGGAUAGCGGAAUUGUCAGUGUAGCAGUGAAAUGCGUAGAUAUUGACAGGAACACCAGUGGCGUAAGCGGCUAUCUGGACCGAUAUUGACGCUGAGGCACGAAAGCGUGGGGAUCGAACAGGAUUAGAAACCCUGGUAGUCC
rnacentral:rRNA from 1 species